GGUUUGAUCGUGGUGGGACUUUGUGGUUCCAGAACUUGACUGAAUUCCCUCAUGGUCUUUUAGGCCCCAUCUUUCCAAUAGUGAUAGCUGCUCUCCACUCCUCUAAUGUUGAGAUUUCUUUUAGGAAAUCUUCACUUGAAAGACAAGAAGGCAUGCAUGGCUUACCGACAAAAAUGAGUUGCUAACAGUUUUGUUUAGGUUUGCUUACUGCUAUAUUAGUAAAUUCUAAAUUUUUUACUGUCUAGAUUUUAUGUUCACGUCAAUUGUGAGAAUAA